rnacentral:rRNA from 1 species
GACGAACGCUGGCGGCGUGCUUAACACAUGCAAGUCGAACGGAAAGGCCCUGCUUUUGUGGGGUGCUCGAGUGGCGAACGGGUGAGUAACACGUGAGUAACCUGCCCUUGACUUUGGGAUAACUUCAGGAAACUGGGGCUAAUACCGGAUAGGAUCUCCUGCUGCAUGGGGGGGGUUGGAAAGUUUCGGCGGUUGGGGAUGGACUCGCGGCUUAUCAGCUUGUUGGUGGGGUAGUGGCGUACCAAGGCUUUGACGGGUAGCCGGCCUGAGAGGGUGGCCGGCCACCUUGGGCCUGCGAUACGGCCCAGUAUCCUACGGGAGGCAGCAGUGGGGAAUAUUGCACAGUGGGCGGAAGCCUGAUGCGGCAACGCCGCGUGCGUGAUGACGUCCUUCGGGUUGUAAACCGCUUUCGCCUGUGCCGAAGCCUGAGUGACGGUAAUGGGUAAAGAAGCACCGGCUAACUACGUG